GAUAGGUCGGGUGUGUAAGCGCUGCGAGGCGUUGAGCUAACCGAUACUAAUUGCUCGUGCGGCUUGACUAUA
rnacentral:rRNA from 1 species